AUUGAACGCUGGCGGCAGGCCUAACACAUGCAAGUCGAGCGGAUGAAGGGAGCUUGCUCCUGGAUUCAGCGGCGGACGGGUGAGUAAUGCCUAGGAAUCUGCCUGGUAGUGGGGGAUAACGUUCGGAAACGGGCGCUAAUACCGCAUACGUCCUGAGGGAGAAAGUGGGGGAUCUUCGGACCUCACGCUAUCAGAUGAGCCUAGGUCGGAUUAGCUAGUUGGUGGGGUAAAGGCCUACCAAGGCGACGAUCCGUAACUGGUCUGAGAGGAUGAUCAGUCACACUGGAACUGAGACACGGUCCAGACUCCUACGGGAGGCAGCAGUGGGGAAUAUUGGACAAUGGGCGAAAGCCUGAUCCAGCCAUGCCGCGUGUGUGAAGAAGGUCUUCGGAUUGUAAAGCACUUUAAGUUGGGAGGAAGGGCAGUAAGUUAAUACCUUGCUGUUUUGACGUUACCAACAGAAUAAGCACCGGCUAACUUCGU
rnacentral:rRNA from 1 species